CCUACGGGCGGCAGCAGUGAGGAAUAUUGGUCAAUGGACGAGAGUCUGAACCAGCCAAGUAGCGUGAAGGAUGACUGCCCUAUGGGUUGUAAACUUCUUUUAUAGGGGAAUAAAAUGUUCCACGUGUGGGAUUUUGUAUGUACCCUAAGAAUAAGGAUCGGCUAACUCCGUGCCAGCAGCCGCGGUAAUACGGAGGAUCCGAGCGUUAUCCGGAUUUAUUGGGUUUAAAGGGUGCGUAGGUGGAUUGUUAAGUCAGUUGUGAAAGUUUGCGGCUCAACCGUCAAAUUGCCGUUGAAAAUGGCAGUCUUGAGUACAGUAGAAGUAGGCGGAAUGCGUGGUGUAGCGGUGAAAUGCUUAGAUAUCACGCAGAACUCCGAUUGCGAAGGCAGCUCACUGGCCUGCAACUGACACUGAUGCUCGAAAGUGUGGGUAUCGAACAGGAUUAGAUACCCGUGUAGUC
rnacentral:rRNA from 1 species